GCAUAUCAAUAAGCGGAGGAAAAGAAAACAACUGUGAUUCCCUUAGUAAUGGCGAAUGAAACGGGAACAGCCCAUCGCGUAACUGCAGGUCAUCUUGGCCUCGCGGAAUGUCGCGUUCGGGAGAGUCUCAUCGGGAGCUGGACGGCCAGUCAAAGUCCAACUUGACAGUGGCCACUGCCCAUAGAGGGUGAUAGGCCCGUAAGGCGGCCGUCCGUUUCCGCCGACUUUUCCCUAGAGUCGGGUUGCUUGGGAGUGCAGCCCAAAGUGCGAGGUAAACUCCUCGUAAGGCUAAAUAUGACCCCGAGACCGAUAGCAAACAAGUACCGUGAGGAAAAUUGAAAAGAACUUUGAAGAGAGAGUUCAAUAGUACGUGAAACUGUGUGGUGGUAAACGGAGGGGUUCCCGAAGUUUCUGCGUGGAACUCAACCUUGGUGUCGGGCGGUCCUGGUGUAUCUGAUCAGCAAUGACUGUGCGCUUGGUUCGGCUUGGCUCCCGGGUGCAUUUUCCAAGCAGUUUACGGCAGGAACCGUUUGGCUCGGACCAAAGGCCUCGGGCGAAGUUGUAGGUAUUUUGCUUGCAGCCCCGGGUGUCCUGGCUCUGCGCUCGACGGGUACGUGAGAGGACUCGUAUAGCGAGCAACGCUCUGUUGCGGUUCUCAUCUCUCUGCCGAGUAGGUCGGUGGCCCCUCCGACCCGUCUUGAAACACGGACC
rnacentral:rRNA from 1 species